rnacentral:miRNA from 1 species
CCUGGUACUCACUAUGUAGACCAGGCUGGCCUCAAACUCACAGAGAUCAGCCUGCCUUUGCCUCCCGAGUGCUGGG